GGGGGUGUAGCUCAGCUGGGAGAGCACCUGCCCUGCAAGCAGGGGGUCAAGGGUUCGAAUCCCUUCAUCUCCACCA
rnacentral:tRNA from 2 species